AAAGAACAACGUAUUGUUAUGGUGGGACUAGAUAAUGCAGGUAAAACUACAAUACUUUACCAAGUUAAAAUGGGAGAAGUUGUUCAAACUACUCCAACUAUUGGUUUCAA
rnacentral:ribozyme from 1 species